GACGAAGGUGGCGAGCGUUGUUCGGAAUCACUGGGCAUAAAGCGCACGUAGGCGGUGACGUAAGUCGGGUGUGAAAUCCCUCGGCCUAACCGAGGAACUGCGCCCGAUGCUGCGUUGCUUGAGGACCAGAGGGGUGCAUGGAAUUUCCGGUGGAGCGGUGAAAUGCGUUGAUAUCGGAAGGAACUCCGGCGGCGAAAGCGAUGCACUGGCUGGUUUCUGACGCUGAGGUGCGAAAGCCAGGGGAGCAAACGGG
rnacentral:rRNA from 1 species